rnacentral:rRNA from 1 species
AACGAACGCUGGCGGCAUGCCUAACACAUGCAAGUCGAACGAGACCUUCGGGUCUAGUGGCGCACGGGUGCGUAACGCGUGGGAACAUGCCCUUAGGUUCGGAAUAACUCUCCGAAAGGGGUGCUAAUACCGGAUAAUGUCUUCGGACCAAAGAUUUAUCGCCUUUGGAUGGUCCCGCGUUGGAUUAGCUAGUUGGUAGGGUAAAAGCCUACCAAGGCGACGAUCCAUAGCUGGUCUGAGAGGAUGAUCAGCCACACUGGGACUGAGACACGGCCCAGACUCCUACGGGAGGCAGCAGUGGGGAAUAUUGGACAAUGGGCGAAAGCCUGAUCCAGCACUGCCGCGUGAGUGAUGAAGGCCUUAGGGUUGUAAAGCUCUUUUACCCGUGAUGAUAAUGACAGUACCGGGAGAAUAAGCUCCGGCUAACUCCGUG